CUUUUCUGACUCCAGAUUUUAAAGUGUUAAUCAGUCCGGUCCUUUUCCCAUUGUGAUCCGUUUCUGUCAAAGCCAUGACGUGGAUUUAUUUACAGCACAGGUUUGUUUAGCCAAAAUGCCAGAUAGUCGUUGUUCAAUCGGAUGCACUAGCCGAUGAGGAGACAAGCCUGGGUUGUGCUUCUACAGAAUUCCGUCCAAGAAAGAAAACCCAGAGAGGAGGAGAUUGUGAAUUUGUGCUAUUAGACGUGCCUCCGUACCUGGGGAGGACAAAGAAUGGCAACCAUCAAAGUACACACGUCUUUGAAGCGAACAUUUCAUCAAAGGUCUGCACAUGUAAAAACUGACAACAACCCUUCUUCAGCUGUAUGGAGUAUCUUCAGUAAGCCCCUGGCGUGACUGUGGAGGAAACCGAUGACGAACCAGUGGCAGUGUGGAUGGGAGAUGUGUCGGAAUGGUAGCUAGCUAAUCAGAGAUGAACGCUGUGUUCUAAAUCUAUAAUAAAGACCCUCGUUAACUCCAUUAUGCUCUGAUUAAAACAAUUAAUGGCUAGUAAAACCCUUCUGCAACUACAGGUUUGACCUGAAAUUUAGCAUACCACUAUAAACCAUGCACAAGUAGCACUCAUAAACGUGUCAUAACUUUGCAACAGGUGUACUUGUGGUCACUGCUCUCUCCACGAGAAAAUGUAUGCUGUAGGGAGGUGGCAUAGGUGAAAGAAGCUUACACAUAAUGAUCUGAGAAAUAGCCUCUUUCACUGUAUUGUAUUUCAGUAUCUCAUCACUGUCAAAAGAAAUACAUGCAUAUGAAUGCAUUCUUCCUGACAUGCAGGUGAUGCACAGAUGUGAGCAGGUUGGUGGGGCAGCAUGCAUAACUGCUCAUCCAGGUUUGAACCUGUGGCCAUAAACCCAUAUGUUUUGCAAGCUGUGUAUGGGACAUAUCGCCAGCUCUUUGGUGAGAUGGAAGACACAGUCCUCAAUGGGUUAGUAACAGUUUUAACUGUUGAUAACUAAAAGCAGCAUUUCAUAGAUUAACAUCCUUUUGCAGCACAGAGAACAUUUACAUAUUUUACACAAUGCAGUGACCCACUGUACAAGCUAACUUCAAGAAGUUUCGUCUUAGUUGCUGCAGACACCUGGCCUAUAGAAAUUGUGUCCGGUGUUGCUGGGGGUACCUUGGCCGACACAUCAGGGUGGUGAUUCCCUUAUGUGCUGUUACCCGCAUCAGAGAACAGUUCCCAAACAAUAGUGAAGCCUGUUGAUGUUUCCGACCCCCUCCGCUAGAUUAAAAUAAAGAAAAUUCAACCGUACAAUGUGUCCAUGUCAUUUAUUUUAGUAUCAAAUAUUUAAUAUAAAAAGGUCUUCACUGUUUACAAAAGGUACUUUUAUUUACAAAUAAUUUACAAAUGAAAAACAUGAAUAUCUGUUCCCCAAGAGAAUAUUGCCCAGAACAUAAUAUUCCUUCCA